GGCCUGGUGGUGUAGUGGUUACACAUCUGCUCUCAAUUCGCGUACUGAGAAGAGGCUAUGCAGAGGUUCCUCGUUCGAAUUGGGGCCAGGUCG